UGGGGAAUAUUGCACAAUGGGGGAAACCCUGAUGCAGCGACGCCGCGUGAACGAAGAAGGUAUUCGUAUCGUAAAGUUCUGUCCUAUGGGAAGAUAAUGACAGUACCAUAGAAGAAAGCUCCGGCUAAAUACGUGCCAGCAGCCGCGGUAAUACGUAUGGAGCGAGCGUUGUCCGGAAUUAUUGGGCGUAAAGGGUACGCAGGCGGUUUAAUAAGUCGAAUGUUAAAGAUCGGGGCUCAACCCCGUAAAGCAUUGGAAACUGAUAAACUUGAGUAGUGGAGAGGAAAGUGGAAUUCCUAGUGUAGUGGUGAAAUACGUAGAUAUUAGGAGGAAUACCAGUAGCGAAGGCGACUUUCUAGACACAAACUGACGCUGAGGUACGAAAGCGUGGGGAGCAAACAGG
rnacentral:rRNA from 1 species